rnacentral:misc_RNA from 1 species
AAAUGAGCCGCCAAUUUAUUCCGGAUUAAGGUUAUCUUUGAAAAUUGAUCUCAGACACAGCGAUUGAUUCUUGGGUUUUUAAGCAUUAGGCUUAGUUUUAUUGCAACAGAAGGCCUUUUUAACGAGCACUUUAGCUGUCAGCUGAAUAUUUGUGUAACUUGGAAUGAAAUAUUUAGAUGUAAUUUGAUUGCAACCUGCGCAACAUCAGAUCAAAAGCUUCAGUUAUAUUAAUCCGAUGAUAUCGCUUUUUUCUUUUCUGGGUUAGCUAGACUUGAA